rnacentral:tRNA from 1 species
GCCUGGGUGGCUCAGUUGGUAAAGCUUCCAAUUUUGGCUCAGGUCAUGGUUUCACAGUUCAUGGGUUCAAGCCCCAUUUCUGGCU